rnacentral:rRNA from 1 species
GGCAGCAGCCGCGGUAACACCGGCGGCCCGAGUGGUGAUCGUGAUUAUUGGGUCUAAAGGGUCCGUAGCCGGUUUGGUCAGUCCUCCGGGAAAUCUGAUAGCUCAACUAUUAGGCUUUCGGGGGAUACUGCCAGACUUGGAACCGGGAGAGGUAAGAGGUACUACAGGGGUAGGAGUGAAAUCUUGUAAUCCCUGUGGGACCACCUGUGGCGAAGGCGUCUUACCAGAACGGGUUCGACGGUGAGGGACGAAAGCUGGGGGCACGAACCGGAUUAGAUACCCGGGUAGUCCCAGCCGUAAACGAUGCUCGCUAGGUGUCAGGCAUGGCGCGACCGUGUCUGGUGCCGCAGGGAAGCCGUGAAGCGAGCCACCUGGGAAGUACGGCCGCAAGGCUGAAACUUAAAGGAAUUGGCGGGGGAGCACAACAACGGGUGGAGCCCUGCGGUUUAAUUGGACUCAACGCCGGACAACUCACCGGGGGCGACAGCAAUAUGUAGGCCAAGCUGAAGACUUUGCCUGAAUCGCUGAGGAGUGGUGCAUGG